rnacentral:misc_RNA from 1 species
AUCAGAUAUGUAGAAGGUGUUGCUUGAAGCAGUAAGGACAGUCUUGCCUAAAGCACAUCAGAGAUAUUGUGCAAGGCAUAUUGAGGCAUAUUGGUGCAGAAGAUGGGGGCAAAGGCGAGCUGAAAAAGUUGCUAUGGUGGGCUGCAUGGUCAUCAUUUACAGAGGAGUUUGAGGACCAACUUCAAGAGACCAAGGAAGUUAAUGGAGAGGCUGGACAAGAUUUAAUAGACAAGUAUCCUCCAAAAGCAUGGUGCAUAGCCUAUUUAGAUACUGUGUGCAAAAAUCAGGCUAUGGACAAUAACUUUACUGAAUCAUUCAAUGCAUGGAUACUUGAAGCAAGGUACAAGCCAAUUAUUGAAAUGUUGGAAGACAUUAGGGUCAAAAUAAUUGAGAGGUUGGCAGCAAAAGAGGUUGUUGUGAAGAAGCGGAAAAAUGAUGGGUUUAGUCCCAAAAGUGAGUUGUUGUUUAAUGAGUAUUUGAAGAUUUCAAAGGUCUGUGAGGUGAGUGGAAAUGGGAUAAUGGCUAUGA